rnacentral:rRNA from 1 species
AGAGUUUGAUCCUGGCUCAGGACGAACGCUGGCGGCGUGCUUAACACAUGCAAGUCGAACGGUAAGGCCCUUCGGGGUACACGAGUGGCGAACGGGUGAGUAACACGUGGGUAAUCUGCCCUGCACAUCGGGAUAAGCCUGGGAAACUGGGUCUAAUACCGGAUAGGACCUUUAGGCGCAUGUCUUUAGGUGGAAAGCUUUUGCGGUGUGGGAUGGGCCCGCGGCCUAUCAGCUUGUUGGUGGGGUGAUGGCCUACCAAGGCGACGACGGGUAGCCGGCCUGAGAGGGUGUCCGGCCACACUGGGACUGAGAUACGGCCCAGACUCCUACGGGAGGCAGCAGAAGGG